rnacentral:rRNA from 1 species
UACGGAGGGGGCUAGCGUUGUUCGGAAUUACUGGGCGUAAAGCGCACGUAGGCGGAUAUUUAAGUCAGGGGUGAAAGCCCGAAGCUCAACUUCGGAAUUGCCUUUAAGACUGCAUCGCUAGAAUCAUGGAGAGGUGAGUGGAAUUCCGAGUGUAGAGGUGAAAUUCGUAGAUAUUCGGAAGAACACCAGCGGCGAAGGCGACUCACUGGACAUGUAUUGACGCUGAGGUGCGAAAGCGUGGGGAGCAAACAGG